rfam:Brachypodium distachyon strain Bd21 chromosome 2, whole genome shotgun sequence.
CAUAUACUCCCUCUGAUCCAUAUUAAUUGUCUCAAAUUUGCCGAAAUAUGAAUGUAUCUGUGUCUAAAAUGCGUCUAGAUACAUGUAAUAUUUCGACAAUUAAUAUGGAUCGGAGGGAGUACUAU